AAGACUAAGUAAACAAACCUUUCAGAUUUCCGCUCCAGGUGAGUCUUUCAUUCUGGUCUAUCUGGUGAAUCUUUCAUUUUACAUCUGGUCAGCUCCAAUCUUCUUUUGAUCACUGACCAUUGCAAAUAUGAGGGAACAGUGGGUGCCUAUUACAGGUUAGUUUUAGACGUGAGAAACAGCCAAGGUGAAUGCAGGAAGAGUGAACGGAUCUAUUUUUACACAUACACACAAGACAUUGAACCUGCCUGAACAGUCCAAAUUGUUGCUAAUAAAAUUUUAGAUUUGCUAUGUGAGAAAACCUGCCUGUCAUAUUGGCCCUUGCUCAAGUAGCUCCCAAGCCCCCGGUGCCUGUGUGGAAAAUGAUGACAGCUGUGCUCUUUGCCUGGCUGCUUCCAUUUAUGAAAACAUGGGGGUAAAUGGCAGCCACCCCCACAGGCCCAUUUACUGUGAAUCUUCUUUUGUAGCCACAGCCAAGAGUAAAGGGCCCCAACAGAAUUGAAUAACAUUCAGGCCCUACCUCAAAUAGGUUUAAUUUGCUUUUUACAAAAAAAGACCUUAGGAAACUGGAAAAAAAAAAAAAGAUAUUUACCUAUUUGGAAUUUCUGAAAAAUUUUUUUUCUUAUAAAACAGCACUCAUUUUAUGCUAUUUUAACCAAACACUUGUGACAGUUUAGGUAAGCAAGACAAAAAUAUCCGAUUAUGCCAAAUAAAAUUUUCCUCCUACAGUUUAUUUUUGGGUGUGGCUGAGGAGGGAUUAGAAGGCUUGGAAGCCUACACAUGUCCCUUGGCAAAUCUGGCCUUAUUCUGCCUGUAAGCACUGUCAAUGAUGUCACCUCUGCAAACAGAGCCUAGUAGCCGAUUAGUUGAGAUGGUUCCUUGAGUGGAUUUAUUUUUUCUUGUCUCUAAGAAUUCCAGUUUCCUUUAUUGCCACACCUCUCAGUCCUGUGCUUCUGGGAUUGUGAUCAUGCCCUGUAGCUCUAUCUGCCUGACCAUCAGAGCAGCGCAGUGUGGUCCCUGCCCUGCCUUGUGCAGACAGCCCAGAAGGGGAGCCGAGGGCACCUAGGAGCAAGCCCAGCCCCAUCCCCUGUGUACUCCUCUUGACCCAUGCUCCUGGAACCCGAAAGCCAUUCUCAGAAAACCUCCUCCACACUAGCCUCUUUUAUUUCUAUUAUAGCCACAUUACUGUAAAUCCCUUGGCCACCAUAGAAAUCCCAGUCUAGAAGGGCUUUAGCUGGUGAAGGUCUCUAUCAGAUGACUGGCAAUCAGUAGAGAUUUUGUCUUUCGCUCCUGUUUGGUGUCAUCGUUCUGUACCAGAGAUGUGACUCCAUCCUCUGUAUGGAAUGACUGGGGCAAAGCUCUCCUCACACAUUAGUUAUAAAUGAUGAGUAAAUGCGUGGAAGGAUAAUCCCAAGGGACACACACCUAUCAGCUUUCAUGUCUUCAAUGAAUGCUGGGAGACCUUCCCAGAUUGUUCCACAGGUUUUCAUUCCAGUGUUUUAGCACUCGAUUUGCUAUCAAUACAUAUUUUUCACCCCUCUUUGGUGCCAGGCAUUGUUAAAAGUCCGAUAAUUCAGUGUCUUGGGCACCAGCCAUCAAGUUGAAGGGAUGUCAACUCAGCAGACAAUCUAAAGCAGGUGGAAGGUGCUUUGACAGGGACAUGCACAGGUGUGGCAGGAGUCUGGAAGGAGCACCCAACCCCGACUAAAGGAGUUAGGGAAGUCUGCCUGGAAGAGAUGCCACCUCAAAUUAAAAAACUAGUUGGCAUUAGUGUAGUAAAGAAGAGGUAGGAGAAGGAAGAGAAAGAUUGACUUUUUGAAGGCAUGCAGGCCUAAAGCUUACUGAAUUAAAAGUAAAUUCACAAGUUCUUUCUUGUAUCCAAAUCACGUCUGCUGUCUUCUUAUAGUCCAUUUCCUUUUGUUGGACUAGCUUUGCAGGUGGGAGACUCAUCAUCCAGCAUUUCCCACAUAGUCAUCUUCACAUUUUUUGUGAUAAAUUCUGUAUCCUCUAUCUUAAGAGGGAGGUGGGGACAGUGGCGUUUGCUCAGAAAACAACAAUAACAACAACAACAACAACAAUGUUGUGAGAGAACUUAAAAGUUGGGACAUGAAAUAAAUUUCUGAAGGAGCUGGUGUUGUUCUGCCUGAAGAAAUGACAACUCAAAGGGCUCCAAAUUUUUGAAGGAUUAUAGUUUAGAAGAUGGAUUCAUCCAGCCUUGACAAUUCUUCAUGGCGCCACUGGGUUUCCUGUCAGAUAUCAAGAAUUAACCCAACCCCAUGACUGUGGUGCCAACAGCAGUCAUUACUAUGUAUGCAGUACUCUGGAUGAACUUUCCUCACUCUUCUGAGGUUGGACAUUGUCAGGGUGCUGCUGAGGGUUCAACUGAGACCAGUGGGUAAAAGACAGGGCUUCGAUUUUAGAAACGGUCAGAGGUGCUCAAUGAUGGAAUAAGUUGCUCCUAGAUGUGGAAGUCUCCUAACAGGAGAAGUUUUCAGAGGCAUGUUUUGAGGAAAAUGUCAAACUACCAAGUCUCCUGAAGGCUCUACCCUCCCACACCCAGCCGUAUGGUGAAAGAGGCAAAAGAGAAGCUGUCUCUGAGAAGCAGCAAAGUCAGAGAUCAGGUCAGGGAUGGGGGGGGUGUUCUUUGCAUCACAAGGGCUUUGAGCUCCACAGGGGAAGAUGCUCCAAGGAAGGCUGGACCCCACACAAGGUGCUUCCAGUCCUACCACAGUAUUCAUGUAGGGCAGAUAAGAGCAUCAGUCCUGCAGGGACUACUAGUGGCUUGGAAAUUUGGGAUCUUAGGGGCAAACGUGACAAGCCAGAGAGUGGUGGCUUCCACCCCUGAAGCCUCCCGAAUUCUAAAGUGUCUCUGAGAGAGGAGAGGGACUUCAGUAAUGGUGACAUAGACCUGCAUCUGCUCACAUCACUCUAGACAGGCGCUCUCUGGGUGUCCAUUUCUCACAAUUUGUAAAGGUCUCUCUGGACACUUGCCUGUGGAACUAUUUGCCACACAGAAACAACAGAACUCUAUUUUAGCCAACCUUGGGUUUACUUAGAUCCACUUCCACCACCCAGGUUUUGGGUAUUCUGCCCCCAAACCUGACAAAUCCGAUGAAUACUUACUUGACGGGUCACAGCCAACAACUCCGAGUUAAUAGGGUACCACCAACCUGUGAGGAGGGGCUGGUCCUGUUCUGCAGUAUCUGGGAUACGAAGGGCCUUUGUUGUGCUUAAAAAAAAAAAAAGAAUAGGUUUUCUUAUCAGUUUCUAAAGGUUGCUUUGGCAAGCAACUAGGGAGUAGGCUUGUAAUAUUUCUUACAUACUAUGCUCGAAAUCGCUAAUGCAAAAUCAAUUAUCCCACCAUCAUUUUAGACACUGUGUGAAAAGUACAAGAGUUAUACUAAUGAUUCAGAGAAUACAAUUUGCCCCCAUGGAGGUUGUGCUGCUUUAUCACCAAUAGUCCCCACCCUGUGCUUAACCUUGAACGAUUUUCCUUUUCCAGCCAGUUGCCUGGUACCAUGAUGUCACCUACUACUGUUUAGUUUCCAUCCACCAGGUCCACACUAGUGAAUACUCCAGGACCAGUAAAGUCACUUGUUUGCCAGCAGCAGCAGUUAUUUCUGCAUUGACCAAGCUGGUACUUUGCUCAUCAUCAAACCCAGUCCAAGUAUAAGUGGCUGCUUCUGGAAUUAACUUCCAAACGCUGGAUGGAAGUCAGGUGUGUUUUCAUCGGGUCCGUGCAAAUCUAGGCAUUGAGUUGAUGUUGUGGAUAUAACAGGAUUGAUUUCUGGCCUUUGGGGAGCCAGGACACAGACAAUGAAGCAGGAAAACAUGGUGACCUAUGAUCCACCAGAAUGGAAGCUCCAUGAAUGCAGGAUGGUGCUUUUUUCUGCUUUUGCUCACUACUGUAUCACAAGCCCUUAGGGCAUUGCUUGCAAGCAGUAGGUACUCAACAAGUAUUUGUUGAAAGGUUGAAUAUAAUGAGAGAAAAGUAGAAAGGUGACCAAACGUGGGAUAGAAAGGAAUGUUAACCAGAGGAAGUGACAUAUAACAACCCCCUAAAGCAUAAGUGAGUUAGCCUGGAAAAGUAGGGAGAUCAUGAUUUUUUGCUUUUCACUUGCUUUGUAUUUGGGGUCUGUACUGCUUCCUGUGAUGUCUCCAUAGCUAAAUUCUUUUAUUUUUAUUUAGUUUCUGACAAACUGACAUGCAGUAAGUAUGGAUCUUUAUUUAGCAUUUGCAAUGUCCAAAGUGGAAUUCUUAACCGAAGCUACUACUAGCUUCUGACUAUUUAGGUCUCCUGAGAUCGCUGAGGCCAGGUCCUGCGUGCUUAAUUGAAUACGUCACUUAUGUAUGCAUUCACGUAUUCAUUCAUUAUACACAUGUUUGUUCAGCACCCACCAUAUGCAAGAUAGUAGCUAUGUACUAAGGUGCCAGCAGAGAC